UACAGAGGGUGCAAACGUUGUUCGGAAUCACUGGGCAUAAAGCGCGCGUAGGCGGCUCAUCAAGUGCAGAGUGAAAUCCCACGGCUUACCCGUGGAACUGCUCUGUAUACUGACGAGCUAGAGGACGGUAGGGGUGAGCGGAACUCCAGGUGGAGCGGUGAAAUGCGUAGAUAUCUGGAGGAACACCGGUGGCGAAAGCGGCUCACUGGAUCGAAACUGACGCUGAGGUGCGAAAGCUAGGGUAGCAAACGGG
rnacentral:rRNA from 1 species